AUUGAACGCUGGCGGCAGGCCUAACACAUGCAAGUCGAGCGAGAGGCGGACGGGUGAGUAAUGCAUGGGGCUCUGACUGAUGGAGGGGGAUAACUACUGGAAACGGAAGCUAAUACCGCAUAGCAUCAGAUGAACCCAUAUGGGAAUAGCUAGGAGGUGGGGUAACGGCUUACCUAGGCGACGAUCCCUAGCUGGUCUGAGAGGAUGAUCAGCCACACUGGGACUGAGACACGGCCCAGACUCCUACGGUAGGCAGCAGUGGGGAAUAUUGCACAAUGGGCGAAAGCCUGAUGCAGCCAUGCCGCGUGUAUGAAGAAGGCCUUCGGGUUGUAAAGUACUUUCAGUCGGGAGGCGUUACCGACAGAAGAAGCACCGGCUAACUCCGUGCCAGCAGCCGCGGUAAUUC
rnacentral:rRNA from 1 species